UCCAGUUACCAUAUGUUUUUCCAUGGGCUUUGUCCAAGAACAAUAUAAGGAAGUCCUAGUUUAUUCCAUAUUGUUGAUGACAAACGCUAUAUUGGGCAGUUACUUUUGUACAGUUUGUAUUUUUAAAGCCAUAGUGCUCAAAGUUACCUAGUGAUAAGAGUAUCCUUGAUAAUGGGAGUAACUUAUAAGGCAGAUAUAGUUCCUUUUAAAAUGUUAUUUGUUUUGUAUGUGAGCUCGUGUUUCUUUGUGUGUAUGUAUGUGUGGGGAAGGAGGUAUGUGAUUUAAUAGAGGCCAGAGUAAACCUUGGAAGUUGUUCUCAGGUCCUGUCUACCUUGUUUUUGUUUGUUUUGUUUUGUUUUUUGAUGCAGGUCUCUUGAUGAUUCUGCUAGGCUGCUGGUCUGUGAGCAUGGGGGAUCUCCCUGUCUCUACUUACCCAAAGCUAGCUAGAAUUUCAAGUACUUGCCCAGCAAUGGGGUCUGAGGAUGGAACUAGGCCCUCAGAAUGGAGUGGCAAAACUUUACUGAGUUGUAUCUUCUGAGUCCUUCCUUUUCAAACGGCUAUUGAUGUACAUUCCCUAUACAACACUAUAGGCUUUAUAGUGACAUGUAUAACACAUAUUUGAUCACAUUCACCCUUCUCAGUACCAAUCUCCAUCUCAGACCUAGAGAAUCAGAAUCUCAGAGGAAGAGUUGAGAUGCUAUGUUCAGCAACCAGGUUUUUCUAAGCAUAUUUUAGAAACAGUUUUAGUAUGAAAGAGUUGUAUGAACCAGAGAUUUAUACUAACUGCAGGUAAAUUUACAAAAUGAUCAGAAUUUGGAAAAUGACAGAUAAUAUUAUUCAUUGACUGUGUAUUCAAUGUGUAUUGUAUUUCUCCUGGUAAUACAUACUUCUUUGGGAUUUGUGACACAGCAGUUACCAAAUUUACUAACACAGAUUCAGAGCUCUGUGGUCCUUUUGGAAUGUUCAUUCUAAUUGCAAAUGGUCAAAAAAACCAGAUAACACAUUAGACAGCAGACAGCUCCACUUAAAUGGCAUUGUUUCAUAUGUUUCUAAAGUGCUAUUUUCUUCUAGGAAGCCUUUUUGUGAUAAGUAACUUGGCUCGGAGGAACAGGAAGAUAAGAACAAAAAGUUAGAUGUUAAGGUCUUUGUUGUGGGAAUUUGAUGAAUUGAUCCAUUUAGCCAAUGGCUUUUGGGGUAACUAGCCUUAUGGGCAUGGCUUUCUCUGAAUACAUGACUGGAUAAAACCGAGGAGGGAGUUGCUCUCCUUCUCUCUUUGUGUGGUCCAAGUCAGAGCAAGUAGCAGAGAAGCAGCUUGGAGUUGGUCCGCUUCACACUUGGGCAGAAGGGCUGGACGAUGGCAGCUAGAUCAAAGACAGAGUCUACUUCGUUCUUCCAUUUCACUCCUUACAAAAUAAAUUGUUAAACAGACUUUUGUGGGUUCUCAUGACAGGUUUUUGCUCUCCUGUUGCUGGGAGCUAACCUUCAGGAGUUGAGGCAGAUGUACUCAAAUAAGGCUAGGAUGUUUCCAGAACAAGUAUUUUGCUCUGUUUUCCUUUGCUCCUAUUCUGGAAAGACUCCUCGAAUAAGUAAUAAAUCCAGAGUUGGCAAUGAGCCAGGAUACUCAACAUACACUAGGCAGUAGACAAAAACUGACUGAGCAAAGUCUUUGGAAGAUGACAUCAAUAUUCUAUCCAUUCCAUUGUUUUAUUUUUUCAUGGAUGGCAUGUACAAACAACUUGAGAACACCAGUCAAUGUGUUCAGAAGACUGUGGAAUAUGUCUCUGACAGCCAUAAUUAUAGAGUACUCCAUUCAGAAGUUUAUUAGGAAACAGAGCCAGGUCUCAGGGUAGCUUCAGCACCAACAGAAACAGAGAUUAUGAAACAAGGAGAUUCAAACAGGACAGGACAAUCUGAUUCUUCAAUGUAAGGCAUAGCCUUAUGAGGUAAGCCAAUACAAAGUUCCACUCUUAGAGAUAGACCAGACUUGACAAUCCAAACUGCUUCUACUACAUAAUGUACAGCCCUUAAGACGUAGUCCAGUGAAGACCAGAGAACAUCAUCACCCAUCUCCAGGAGGAUAUGGCAGUCAUCCCACAGCACACUGGGUCUGACUGUGCCACCACCACAAUCCAAAGAAUGAAUUCAGGAAGACCACACUGAGCUGGAAGCUGAUUUUAGAGAGUUUUCCUAUGGGAAUUUUCUUUACUAAGAAGCAGAAAGACCCUGCUAGAACAAAG
ensembl:lncRNA